GAAGUGCGAUAAGCAAUGCGAAUUGCAGAACCGUGAGUCAUCAGAUUUUUGAACGCAACUGGCUCCGAAGGGUCCUCCCUCCGGAAUGCCUCCCUCAGUGUGUUAUUACCUCCUAACCCAAAGCAUAAUGCGAGAGAUACCCUUCUCUUGUUAAGCUUGAAAGCACUCUGCGAUCGCGGUGGCGCCUCCGGGCGCUACACUCAAUGCAGCAGUCAGGUCUUACGACUUGAACUCAUUGAGAGUGAUUGUAGCUCGGCUCGCCGACUGUGCUUAAAUAACCAAAUUCUUUCAUCAUCUGAGGUGAAGUAGGACCACCCGCUGAACUUAA
rnacentral:misc_RNA from 1 species